AUGCACUGGAAGAAAACGUUCCGCUUUCUGCAUCACACAUUAUCCUUUUUGUCCUACAACCGAGGGAGUACUCAUGCAAUCCAUGUUCAUCUUUGGAUCGAUUUUAUUAGGUCACUGUCUCGAGAGGUUUUAAAGGUGGUGGAUAUCAUGCAAACUUCUCCAGUCAAGAAGAGGAUGAAGUUCUCAGAGCUUCCUGGCGUCAUCGGAGGUGGCCUCGUCGAAGAUGACAGUCAGUUUCUUGCAGAUAAGGUGCUUUUCCUUUGUAAGGAUGUCGGCCUGCAUCGCUGCUGGCUUGCUGACGAUGUGCGUGCUCUGGUGGACGGAGCCUAG
rnacentral:rRNA from 1 species